GAUGAAGAACGUAGUGAAAUGCGAUAAGUAAUGUGAAUUGCAGAAUUCAGUGAAUCAUCGAAUCUUUGAACGCACAUUGCGCCCGCCAGUAUUCUGGCGGGCAUGCCUGUUCGAGCGUCAUUACAACCCUCAGGCCCCCGGGCCUGGCGUUGGGGAUCGGCGGAAGCCCCCUGCGGGCACAACGCCGUCCCCCAAAUACAGUGGCGGUCCCGCCGCAGCUUCCAUUGCGUAGUAGCUAACACCUCGCACCGGAGCGCGGCUCGGCCACGCCGUAAAACCCCCGACUCUCAGAGUUUGACCUCGGAUCAGGUAGGAAUACCCGCUGAACUUAAGCAUAUCAAUAAGCGGAGGA
rnacentral:misc_RNA from 1 species